AUUUCUUAAUCAAAAAGUUUUGGUGCUUAAUUUAAGGGAUUACAUCUUCUCUAUUAAAAGAGAAGUACUAUUUUUAUCUACUAUUUUGAAGUCUACUAGGUCCAUCUAUUAAAAUAUCAAAAACAUUUAUAUCUAUCUUAAUUACUAAAUUAAACAUGUGAACCACAUCUCUUAUAUAAUUACAUUUAACUUAAUAAUAAACUAUAUUUACCAUUGACCACUUACUCUUGCAUACAAACGAUUUAUUAACAUUAUUUACUACAAACAUUACCCACAAACUAAGCAUCUCUCGAUUGGUAAACAUAAGCCAAAUUUAAAAGUUUCUUGAACAUGAUAUAUCAUAUCAUUUAGUUCUCGCGGGUCAUAACAUAAAUUUCAUCUCAUAUUGAGUCAUCAUAAUAUUAAGUCCCAAUGAUCUCGAGUUCUUUUAAUUAUUUUUCCCUAUAUCAAAAGCUUAUUCCUUUAUCUG
rnacentral:lncRNA from 1 species